UUUUAAAGACAGUGUCAACGUAUUUUUUACGUCAAGUUGAUGUUAUUUAAAGGUUUCACCUUUUUCCCCUAUUCAUAUGCUAUUAUUUAUUUAUAUACACCAUAAAUUAGACAAAUAUAAUAGAAUAUUUUAAAAAACUAUAUAUAAAUUAUAUAUACAAAGAAGCUCAUCCGACAACACAAGGCGCUGAAUGUUGAAAGACGAACACUCAAAAAAGAUGUGAUGUAGUGUUUGAACCUUUUGCAAUUGACAAUAAUCACAAUAUGCUGAGCUGACCAUUUUGAGACGAUGAAGAACCAAGGUACAGUAUUAACUUGGACAUCGAGAGUAUUAAACCAUGAACCCACAUUUUCAUUGUGCACACAAUUAUAUGAAUGUCUCCCCCACGCUUCACACAUGCGUUGCCUCAAGAGACUAACUACAUCUGUGUAAGGUAUGGAAACACUUUUAUCGCUGCUGGGAAUUGAAUCCUCUAGUUCGACAAUUUUUUUGGCAAGAUAGUCUGCUUUUUCAUUUCCUUUAACGCCAAUAUGAGAUGGUACCCAUACAAAUUGAACUUCAAUAUUUGACUCAAUCAAUUGUACCCACAUUUCCUUAAUCAGAUGAAUAAUGUAGUUAGUGUUAGCAUGGAAUUUAUUAUUUGCUAUAUUUUGUAGGACACUCAUGCUAUCACUUAUUAUGACCCAUUUACUAGACUCUAAAUUGGAUUUUUUUAUAUGUUUCAGUG